rnacentral:lncRNA from 1 species
UUUUUUAAUGAAGAAUAUUUUCCAUUCCAGAUAAAAGUUUCAAUUUUUUUUGUAUAAUGUUUUACUAUGUUUCAUUUUUUAUCUGAUUCCAUCCAUUUUUUUAAUGUCUGUGAUUUAUGUUUUAAUUUGUGUUUUAUUUUAAGCAGUAUAUAUGUUUGUCUUUACACAAUAUUUUGUAUCUUUUUUUUCUUUCCGUCCCAUACAUAUCAGUAUUUUAUUUGUUAUUAAGCUGAUACACAUCCAUGUGGAUUUGAUGUUAAAGCAAUGUCUAGAUAGAAAUGAACAUAUCAUUAUCUUUGUAACAAGUACCAUAUCAUUUUGUUAUUUGCUCCAAUGAAUUUUUUUGCUGGAAUUUGACAGAAAAAUAUGAGGAUAAUUAUGAUAAAGAUUUUUAAAGUGGAUAUACAACAUUAAUGGUCUUGUAACCAAAUAAGGAGUUUUUCCUUUAAAAUGAAAUACCUAGAAUUGAAAUAAUCAAAUGAAUUUUCUUUGGUAAUGUUGUCCAUUAUAUUUGAUCUGUCAUGUAAGAAUAUUUCUAUAUGUAAAAAAGUUCCCUGUUAAAAACCGGUUAAUUAUGUCAAGUCUCUUGAAACUUGAAAUGAAAAUUCUAUAGUUAAGAUAAACGAGAAACUGAAUAUUUUUUUAUUUAAAAUUCUCUAAACUAGAAUUGAUCUAAAUACAAGUAAACACUUAAAGUCUUAUUUGUGUGCCCAAGUAGUUAUGUAUAAAAAGAACCUAUUCUGAGUUUUAGUGCACACCAUUUGUUGAUUUAGGUAGAUGGUUUUUGGGGGUUUGGAUCACUCAUGUCUUUUCUUUUUUUUUGUUACUUCCUGUCUUUACUACAUGUAUUUCAAAAAUAAUAUUAUUUCUUUUAGCUUUAUUUCCCUUUAUAAAACUAUGUCAUUUCGCCUGUUAUGAAGGGUUGUCUCAUUGGCACUUGUACCUCACCUCUGCAUAUUUUUAAAAUAGUUCAAUAAAUGAAACAAAAUAUAAUCAUAAACAUACGUAGUGCCUAAAUAAUUAUUACAAAAGUAGUUAAAAUUCACCUUACAUUUUGUAAUUGCAUUUUCAUUUCUUAUACAAAGCAUAGUUGGAAAUGCAGUAUGAGGUUAUUGUAGGAAAAUCAAAACUAUUUAAAACACAAUAAAACAUAUUCAUGUGAAUAAAUCCAUAUUUUAUUUUACAUUUUCUGAUUAUAGGCAUUUUAUUUUAACUAUCAUGAACCACGAAAGAUGUUAUUUUCUUCUUCAUGAUAAAAUAGCAAAAAUUUGAUACAUUUUUGUACUUGUCAAAUGACAAAAAUAAGGUAUUACAUGUAACAGUAAAUAUAUUAAUAAAGGAUGAAAUGGUCAGUUUUCAUAAUUUCUGAUAUACCUCGGUACUUUUGUAAUAUUUAAUGUGCCUCAAUGAACUCUAAAGCAGUAAUUUUACUUCUUUUAAAAAGCAGAAUGUAGUUUUUAAAUGUAUUUAAAAAGGUGAGAGGGAGAGCUCUGGGAUCACACAAGUAAAUUAUUCAAAUAACAUCAUGCAGAUUUAUUCUGAUUUUCCGCAAUAAUUCUCCAACAAAUCAAACAAAAGCAAACAUUACAAUGUAUCCCUUAUUAAAACAGUUCUUAAAAAUGUAAAAAAAUCAUCUAAUGAUACUCUCUCAAAAGAAUUUGUAAUUUUUUUUUGAGUGUCUCAGUGUUAAUCCACAUAGAAUACAUCUUAUUUAAUGUACCAGUACAUAUAUAAUUGUUGCAUCAUCAUUUAUAUGCAUUAAUCAUGAUCAGUAUUUAUUUGAUGUUUUUUUAUUGAUGACCAUUAAAUAUAUAAGGAAAAGUAUAUGUUAGAGGUUAUCAUGAACAGAGAGUUGUGAUUAAGUCAUUUGUCUGGUCCAUGGAAUCUAAAUUUCACAAUGUAAUAAUAAAUAUAUCAGUUAUCAUCUUUAACAUGAACUUAUCAGAUGUUUAAAGUACAUGCAAAUAUAUUCUUCCUAUAUAUUACAUUUUUACCCUCAAACUUCAAAUGGUGUAAUGUAUGAAAAGCUGCAAAAAUUACUUAAAUUUCACAUUUUCACAUUGAAAUUUAUAUACAGACAUCUUCACCAAACAAGUAUAUGCUUUAAGAUGUCACUUACAAAGAUAAAAAAUCAUUGCAAAUACCUUUCUUGGGGGACAAUUAUUAAAUAUUGCAAAGAAAAAUAAGCCAAUUAUGAAUUAUUAAUGAUAUCAAUUUUAUAUCAUCAUUGAAUUAGUGUACUAAAAUUAUCAUAUUUAAUUUCAUUUAAAUUAUCUGUAAUCAGAGAUUCCAUAUCUAUCAUGUUGGUAAUUUUAGGGUCCAAAAAAGACUUUAUCACAUCUCAUCUUAUUGGAGUUACACAAACAAGAUUUGUCAAUGUAUUUUUUAGAGAAAGAAAUACAAAUAAAU